UUCAGAGUCUGUUGCACGUGCAUCUGAAAUGGGAACCUUUUAAUGAGUUUAAACAGAUACUGGAGUCAGUGUAGACAACUGAAUGUCCAAUGCUGAAUCUUGCUAAACAGAUACUGGCAGCAUGAGCUCAAUUACAUAACUAUUGAGUACUUAGGAUUUUGAAGCUUGAAGUUACCCAAGUAACAAUCUCAUUCCGAGAAAAACAAGUAUUGCUUGGUAAUUUGUUAAACUAGCUGACCAAAGGAAGCUCGUCAUUGCGGGAAGAGCAGUUGCUGCAAACUGAGAGUAGAUGCCAGGAAAGAAUAAUGGCAUAGGAAACAAUCUGUCCUCCAAAAGUCCUACGACCAAGCAUGGAUUGCGCAUUAUAAAGAGCGAGACUAUGUAACAUAUACUCGCCAAAACAUUCACUCUGAAAUUCUCUAAUUUGUGUCCUUACUGCGCCAUCAGGGAAAAAUCAGGAUAUUUAAUUGAGUAUGGUUUCAUAAUGAUUUCUCCAUCAGCUGUAUCAGGGUCGAUAUGUUUGAUUUGCUGGUCUUCACAGUGCAUCUAUUCAUGACCAUUUCCUUUUA